rnacentral:misc_RNA from 1 species
UUUCCGUAGGUGAACCUGCGGAAGGAUCAUUAAAAAUGAGACCUGAUUUUCAAGGUCUAUUAAUAAUCCUACCCUUUGUGAAUUUGUUUGUUUAUAAUUUGUGUCUUUCCCUGUUUGAUGGAGCUUGUAAAAGCAAAGUCAAUCAGGGAAUGGCAAACUUUUUUUUAAAUUAACUUUUGUAUUCAUUUGUUUAAAAUUAUUUUUAUAAUAUAAAACAACUUUGACAAUGGAUCUCUUGGUUCUCGCAACGAUGAAGAACGCAGCAAAUGCGAUAAGUAGUGUGAAUUGCAGAAUACGUGAUCAUCGAAUCUUCGAACGCAUAUUGCACUUUUUGGUUUACAAAAAGUAUGUCUGUUUGAGUAUCAGUAAAAUAUUCUCAUAAAACUUUGUUUUUAUGGUUAUGAGUGUUUUACAACGAUAAACAGUUGUUUCACUUUAAAUUCUUUGACUUGAAAAAAAUCAUUAAAACUGAUUUUUUUUAAAUUGGAUAAAUUUUCCUGUAAAAAGGAAUAACCUAAACAAUUUUAAGAAAUUAUUAGUUUGAUUUUUUAAAAGUACUAAAGGAAAAAAGUAAAAUUAACUUGAUCUCAAAUCAGAUAAGAGUACCGCUGAACUUAAGCAUAUCAAUAAGCGGAGGAAAAGAAACUAACUAGGAUUCCCUCAGUAACGGCGAGUGAAGCGGAAGAGCUCAAAUUUGAAAUCUUCAAGGUUUACCUUGACGAAUUGUAGUUUAAAGAAGUGUUUUCUGUUGGAGUUUUGGUAAAAGUUCUUUGGAAUAGGACAUCAUAGAGGGUGAGAAUCCGUAUUUGACCAUUAUUUCCAACUUUGUGAUACACUUUCAAAGAGUCGGAUUGUUUGGGAAUGCAGUCCAAAUGGUGGUAAAUUUCAUCUAAAGCUAAAUACUGGCGAGAGACGAUAGCGAACAAGUACCGUGAGGGAAAGAUGAAAGAACUUUGAAAAGAGAGUUAAACAGUACGUGAAAUUGUCAAAAGGGAAGCGUUUGACACCAGUGUGUUUUCUCGAAAAUCAAUUAAAAUGGCGGAUUUUGUGUUGUAUUGACUUUAUCAGCUUCUGCACUUUUUCUGUCUUUUUAAUGCACUUUUCGUUUAACAAGUCAACAUCAAUUUCUUUUGUUGUAAAAGGGUAUUGGAAGGUGCUUUCUUUUCGGAGAAGUGUUUAUAGCCUUUGACUCUGCAAUCGGAGAGAUUGAGGUCUGCAGCGUAGAUCCUUCGGGUUAGAUGCAUUUGUGCUAAGUUAUAGCCUUUCAUAGACAACUUGUUGACUAUGAUCAGUCAUGUAGCUUACUCGCUUAUGUUAUUU